rnacentral:tRNA from 1 species
GGAACAACAAGAAGGGGAAGAGGCUUCUAACUUCAAUCUCAGGCGGUUUAAUUCCGUCUUUAUUCCU